AGAGUAACACGUGGGUAACCUGCCCAUCAGAAGGGGAUAACACUUGGAAACAGGUGCUAAUACCGUAUAACAAUCAAAACCGCAUGGUUUUGAUUUGAAAGGCGCUUUCGGGUGUCGCUGAUGGAUGGACCCGCGGUGCAUUAGCUAGUUGGUGAGGUAACGGCUCACCAAGGCCACGAUGCAUAGCCGACCUGAGAGGGUGAUCGGCCACAUUGGGACUGAGACACGGCCCAAACUCCUACGGGAGGCAGCAGUAGGGAAUCUUCGGCAAUGGACGAAAGUCUGACCGAGCAACGCCGCGUGAGUGAAGAAGGUUUUCGGAUCGUAAAACUCUGUUGUUAGAGAAGAACAAGGAUGAGAGUAACUGUUCAUCCCUUGACGGUAUCUAACCAGAAAGCCACGGCUAACUACGUGCCAGCAGCCGCGGUAAUACGUAGGUGGCAAGCGUUGUCCGGAUUUAUUGGGCGUAAAGCGAGCGCAGGCGGUUUCUUAAGUCUGAUGUGAAAGCCCCCGGCUCAACCGGGGAGGGUCAUUGGAAACUGGGAGACUUGAGUGCAGAAGAGGAGAGUGGAAUUCCAUGUGUAGCGGUGAAAUGCGUAGAUAUAUGGAGGAACACCAGUGGCGAAGGCGGCUCUCUGGUCUGUAACUGACGCUGAGGCUCGAAAGCGUGGGGAGCAAACAGGGAUUAGAUACCCUGGUAGUCCACGCCGUAAACGAUGAGUGCUAAGUGUUGGAGGGUUUCCGCCCUUCAGUGCUGCAGCUAACGCAUUAAGCACUCCGCCUGGGGAGUACGACCGCAAGGUGGAAACUCAAAGGAAUUGACGGGGGCCCGCACAAG
rnacentral:rRNA from 1 species